GUGCCAGCAGCCGCGGUAAUACGUAGGGGGCGAGCGUUGUCCGGAAUUAUUGGGCGUAAAGCGCGCGCAGGCGGUCCUUUAAGUCUGAUGUGAAAUCUUGCGGCUCAACCGCAAGCGGUCAUUGGAAACUGGGGGACUUGAGUGCAGAAGAGGAAAAGCGGAAUUCCMCGUGUAGCGGUGAAAUGCGUAGAGAUGUGGAGGAACACCAGUGGCGAAGGCGGCUUUCUGGUCUGUAACUGACGCUGAGGCGCGAAAGCGUGGGGAGCAAACAGGAUUAGAUACCCUGGUAGUCC
rnacentral:rRNA from 1 species